rnacentral:misc_RNA from 1 species
GUGAAUCAUCGAAUUUUUGAACGCAAAUUGCACUCUCUGGUAUUCCGGAGAGUAUACCUGUUUGAGGGUCAGUUUAAAUAAAAAUCGGUGUGGUUGCUGCCUUUCGUGGUGACGCACCGGUCUUGGAUCGUCUUGCCUUCGGUUAAGUGUCCUAAAAUUUUGCAUGCUUUUUUUCGAACGUCUUUUAAUGAUUUUACGUACGUUUCCCUUGUCGUAUAUUAGGUUUGGUAAUCCUCAUG